AUAAACAUUAAAAAAGAAAAGCGAAAUGCUUUAAAAACUGAAAGACCACCUCCUUCCUCUGCUCCAAACACUGCCGUGAUUCCUUGUUUCAUCCAGACGAAAAGGCUGGGUUCUCCCAAGGGCCUGUCCAUCUGGCCCCACAGCCCCCUGACCUCCUUACCUCCUCUCCCUCUACCCUCAGCCCUGCUGUCUCUGCACAGUCGCAUACUCCUGCCUCACGGCUUUUCACUGCAGUUUUGCUCAGAACAGCCUCCCCAAGUCCUCACUUCCUCCAGCCUCCGAGAAGCCUGCCCUGACUUCCCCACACAUGUACAGCAGCGUGCCGGUGCUCCUGAUGUUCCCUCCUCUGCUCUACUUUUUGCCCGAAGCACACAUCACCUCCGAUAGACUGUAUUGCCCUUCCCGGACUUAAAAUGUGGGCUCCCUGAGGAGUCCGACCUGUUUUGUUGACUGAUGCCUCUCCAGCUUCUAAGGCGGUGCCUCUAGAGCAAAGAAGGUUCAGAAGAUGGCCUUGUAAUGGGAGACUGUGCCACGUGCACUUGGGCCAGAGCAGGAGCAAGACGCGUGCUGCCCUAGGCUCACGGGGCUGAGGUCUCGUGGGUGAAACGACAGCAUACAACUUCUGUAGCCCUCGCGGUGCCAGGCACUGCACCGAGUGCUUCCUCACGACCACCUGACCAGGCAGCUCCUGUUACCAUCUUCAUUUUCCAGGAUCCAAGUUCAUGUUGCCACACAAACAGCAAAAUAAACCGGUAUGUUCCAAGAACAAACAUUUGCUUUAUCCACCCACAACUUGGAAA